AUGGAAACUAAGCCUGUUCCGGCACCAAUUUCCAAAACUUUUUUGUCUUUGAGGUUGAAUUGUUCUUGAUUUGAUUCCAGAUACUGAGAUAAAGCCAGUGCCUAAAACAGUUAACACAUAUCCAUACGAGGGUAACAGAGUUGUGUUACUGUUUUAACUCUUGUGCUUUUCAUAAUGCAACACUGGCUACCUGUUCUGGGAAAGCUGACAGCUAAUGAAUCACCAGGCCACUUCGUGCAACCUCUCAAUUUUCUUGGAGAGUUUUACCAUCUGCAUUCUGACACCUGAUUAAUGUGAGAACUGAUGAUCUGACACUUCAAAAUAUGAUACUGUUUCACUCACCCAUAUGCUUUCUUUUCUCUAUUGUUUUGAAAUUGCCAUUUUCUGUGAGCUUUUUCAAUAAAUGUGGAUCUGAAAAAUUUUGAAA